GAGCCCGUAGUUCAGCCUGGUUAGAAUACCGCUCUGAUAAGGCGGUGGUCGGCAGUUCAAAUCUGCUCGGGCUCA
rnacentral:tRNA from 1 species